rnacentral:tRNA from 1 species
GUUUUAAUAAUUUAAAGGAAAAUAUUGGUCUUGUAAACCAAAAAUAAGUAACCUUUUAAAACU